rnacentral:rRNA from 1 species
UACGUAGGGGGCAAGCGUUGUCCGGAAUCAUUGGGCGUAAAGCGCGUGUAGGCGGCUCGAUAAGUCUGCUGUUAAAGUCCAGGGCUCAACCCUGGGAUGCCGGUGGAUACUGUCGAGCUCGAGUCCGGAAGAGGAGUGUGGAAUUCCUGGUGUAGCGGUGAAAUGCGCAGAUAUCAGGAGGAACACCAAUGGCGAAGGCAGCACUCUGGGACGUGACUGACGCUGAGACGCGAAAGCGUGGGGAGCAAACAGG